AAACACACAUUUAUAUAGAGAGAGAAGUCUAUGAUUUUAUACAUAAACACUACCUUUGUUAUUACAACUCUAGUCUCGCAUUGCCAUACAUCCCAAAAAUCAUCGUUAUCAUACCUCCAAGGAGAAUUUUGUAUUGCAAAAACAGUUUGAAUUGUUUGCUGUCUCCCAACUGCAAGAUAAUAUUUUUGGGGGUAGAAUAUAUUUAUUGGCAUUUCUUUUUUUUUUACAAUUUAACAAUCAUCAAAAUAUGACACAGACAAUGCCCCGUUAUUCCUCAACUGCAAGAUUUUGAUAGGAUGUUAGAUUUCAAGAACCCUCCCCCACACACCCAUAGAAGGAUGUGUUCUGUGUGUCACUGUUUCCCGUCUGGGUAGUUGUUCCCUAUGCUAGUUUCAAGUGCUAUUUUUAAAGUUAUCAAGUGUGGCCGACAGUCUGUGAUUUAUAUAUAUUGAAAUUGAGAGUGGAUUACGCUGGUAAAGUCAAACGUCCUAGCACGUUCUAAACCGGGAUCGAACCAGGGUCUGUAGUGACGCCUCUAGCACUGAGAUGCAGUGGCUUAGACCGCAGCGUGCUACCACCAAAAAUAUCGUAAAGAUUGUCCAUUAUUUUGUUUUUGUAAGGACCAAAAAAACAGAUGCAACGGGAGAACAUAUUCAAAUAACAGCCAUGGGAGAGGGUGAAAUUGCAGCUCCAGCUGUCAGUAAAGGCUACUGGAUAGGGCAGAUAUGGAAAGCUGUGAAAGCAUGUUUGCAGAUUAAUAGAGUUCCAAUGAAUAUCCCAAGAGACUAAGGGUAUAUCCUAUAUGUUAGCAAAUGUUGUAUACAAAAAUACAGUUAGAAAUCACACACAAUGUAUAAACCUAUUAGAAUUGGAGCAGGCCAAUCCUGCUAGAGGUCUGCUGGGUGUGCAGGGUUCUGUUUCAGCCCAGCAAUAACACACCUGAUUCUACAUAUCAAAUCUAAUGAGUUGAUAAUCAAGUGUGCUAUUGCUGGGUUCGAAUAGAAGUCUGCUCACCCAAUAGAUUAGGGCUCAGUGGAGCAAGGUUGGCCACCGCUGGUAUAGGGGAUGAGCAUUACAGGUAACAUUGUAUUUAAAACAUUUUAAUAUAUAUUUUUAGCUUACGGCACCUGGUAUUCCCAGGCGGUCUCCCAUCCCAGUACUAAUCAGGCCCUGAACAGGUGUGUUCCGCUACUUCUUAUCACACUGCUCGCUUAACCUGCAGCGAUCUAAUAGAAAGUUAGCUAGCUGAUGACAUUGAAUGAAUAUAGUUUAACAGUGUGAAAAGUUAACUAGAUAGCAGCUCAGUUGAGUUAGCCUACAGCCGCAACAAUGUGUCGGAGGAAACACCGUUCGACUGACGUCCGGGGUCAGGUUGCAGGCGCCCGGCCCAGUCACAAGGAGUCGCUAGAGCACGAUGUGCCAAGAAAAGCCCCACCGGCGAAACCCUCCCCUGCCCCGGACUGCGCUGGGCCAUCCUAUGGGGCUCCUGGUCACAGCCGGUUGUGAAACAGCCUGGGAUCAAACACCAGGCUGUAGUGGCGCCUCAGCACUGCGGUCAUUCAUUCAUUUUAGCAAUGUUACAUGCAAAAUGAUUGCAGUUGUUCCCAUAGAUAGACAGCACAUGGUAGCUCUAUGUAUCACUGACCCUGUAUAAGCUAGCGACUGGGCUAACACAGCUAACCUUUUAGGUCAAUAAUAUGCUGUUUUUAUAAAAAAUGUGUAGGCUUUAUAAUCGUGAGAGAAAUGUAACUAGCUAGUUAGUUAUACCUAGGUAGCUUACAAGGUUAGCUGACUUAUCAACACGAACCGCAUUGUGGCUAGCUAUUUAUUGUCCCUCAUGCUUUCCAGCCAAAUGCAUCAACAUUUAAAAUAUUGAUAUGGUCAGCAUUGUAGGCCAUUUCUCCCCUCUUGCUGCAGCUUUAGCUCAUCUCGAAAUAACAGAGAAAUGUUGUCCCUACGUCACUAAUUUGAUUGGUUUGAUGUGUUGCGAGGCGUCACUGAUUUACAACGGGUUCCGACCCCUCUCUAGAUGAUUUCUGUCAUGGAACUUCCCCAGGCUUCCCAUUUUAGGGAAGCCUAGUUCGCGACGAGGCUAUUACAACUCAGACACAUUGUUACAUAUGAGGAUGUGUUGUGUGUGUG